rnacentral:rRNA from 1 species
GAUGAACGCUGGCGGCGUGCCUAAUACAUGCAAGUCGAGCGAAGCGGGGACGGGUGAGUAACACGUGGAUAACCUCCUCUAAGACUGGGAUAACUUCGGGAAACCGGAGCUAAACCGGAUACGUAACGAUGGUUCGGCGUGGCAUUAGCUAGUUGGUAAGGUAACGGCUUACCAAGGCUACGAUGCAUAGCCGACCUGAGAGGGUGAUCGGCCACACUGGAACUGAGACACGGUCCAGACUCCUACGGGAGGCAGCAGUAGGGAAUCUUCCGCAAUGGGCGAAAGCCUGACGCAGCAACGCCGCGUGAGUGAUGAAGGUCUUCGGAUCGUAAAACUCUGUUAUUAGGGAAGCGGUACCUAAACAGAAAGCAACGGCUAACUACGUGCCAGCAGCCGCGGUAAUAC